UUCACUUUCCGCGGCAGCCGCUGGAGAGGCGGACGGCGGGGCUGGGGCGGAGCGGCCCGGGGGCCCCCGGGAGUGACAGUCGUCCCGUCGGGAUUUCCCGUACCCCCCACUGCCCCCAGGGCCCGGGCCAUGCGUGCGCCGUGAGGGGCGGGCGUCCGGACUUCGCGAGCUGAUGCGGACUCGCUUUUGAGCGGCUGGGGACGAGCGAAGCAACCCCAAAAUGGAGGACUUUGCUACCAGGACCUAUGGGACCAGCGGCCUGGAUAACAGACCUCUGUUUGGGGAGACGUCUGCCAAGGACCGAAUCAUCAAUUUAGUAGUUGGCGGCUUAACCACCUUGUUGAUCCUAGUAACACUGGUCAGUGCUUUUCUGUUCCCUCAACUACCUCCCAAACCACUGAAUAUUUUUUUUGCUGUCUGCAUCUCUUUGAGUAGUAUUACUGCCUGCAUACUUGUGAGUACUAUAUAGAAUUUAAGUGUCUGUAAGCGCUUACGUGGCAAUGCCCCUGGGUCUAGAAUAGGGCAUCUCUCCUUUAACUCCCCCCAGAUUUGCUCCUGAUAUUUACACACGGAUCCACUUUGAUUUGUGAUCCUCCCAGCAUAUAGAAAUCACAUUACAUUUGUCAGGAAACAAAGAGACCCCUUUGUGUACCAAAAACAAGCCCCACCCCAGAGGAUGGUGGUUGUUUCUUCUGUUAUUUAGGUUAAUUGUUGGGCUUGAAACUUUAUGAAACAGGAAAACCUGGGCAUGGGGUUGCAGCUCAGUGGGAGAGAUGAUCUAACAUGCAGGGGUUUGACCUCUAACACCAUUUUUCAAAACAAAAGGUUUUUGUUUGUUUUAAAAAUCCUUAAAUUAGGGGGUUGGGGAUUUAGUUCAGUGGUAGAGCGCUUGCCUAGGAAGCGCAAGGCCCUGGGUUUGGUCCCCAGCUCCGAAAAAAAAAAAAAAAAAACCAAAAAAAAAAAAAAAAUCCUUAAAUUAUUUCAAACCUACAUAGGUUGUGAACACUUGAGUAGAGCUAGUCUAAGGUUGAAUCUUUGAAGUUUUCUUGUCUCCUAUGUUCUACAGCCCUGAGUGACCAAGGUUGAGGUAUUUAAAUUAUGUAUUUACUUAUGUAGGCCCUCUUACAUAUCCAAUUUGAGUCAGUGACAUAAAUCUUUGUGUCUGCCCUCCUGGUGGUUCAAAUAUACUAAAAGUGUAUCCAGACACAUGUUCUCAUCUAGCCGGAUUAGUGACUACUCUGAGGUUAGAACCCAGUGAUAACAAAAACAGGAAUACACAUGACGUUGGACCAUGGAAACACUUGUUAGUUAGCACUACUUGAAUCAUAAAGAAUUAAACUGAAGACUAUGUCAGGACAAUUAAGUUUUAACGCUAUCCGUAUAAAGAAGCAUUGAGUUGUAUUUAACACUGUAAUAGUUGGUCAUUACCUAAAUCUUUACUUGAUUCUUCUUUUAGAUCUACUGGUAUCGACAAGGAGACUUAGAACCGAAAUUUAGGAAUCUCAUUUACUAUAUCUUGUUUUCUAUCAUCAUGCUGUGUAUAUGUGCGAACUUGUAUUUCCACGAUGUGGGAAGGUGAGGCUGCAGACACGGGCUUACCAGGACGCUGGGAAAUCUGUGUGAAUGUCACUGCUGCAAACCAGUGUACGAAGAAUGCUCCACACACGUCUGCUACAUGAUUUUCAUGUUAACUGUGAAUCUGAAUCCCCUCUUGCAAGGGAGCUGUACCAUACAUCUCUGCUUUCCUUUAAAAAGCUGAAACAUUCCAGCCCUUAAAUAGCAAAGGAUUUUCAGUUUUGAAAUUUUUUUUUAACAAUUUAAUUGCAUGGCUCAAAAUCUUGCAUUUUAAGACAAAUACUCUUUUAUUUCUGUUAAACUGAAUAUACAAUUAUUGUUCCCUAGGCAACCAACUUUUCCUUACUACUACAGUUUCACAUUAAUAAAACAGAUGGUGAAAAGACAACUUUGAUUGUGAAGAUCUAAUUACAGUAAUAAAUAAAAUAAUUUAUACAAGUUUCCUUUUUUUUUUUUUUUUUUUUUUUUUUACUUUUCUAUAAGGAUCAUAUCAUUAAAGCCCUAGAGGCUACUUUUGGCUUUACCUUAGGAAUGACUCUUGAUUUGUUUUCUUUUGAUACAGAAGCAAACUUUGUUUUUUAAAAGUGCCUGAGGGAGAAGCUAUACUGUACCCCCACCAGGUAAUGCACUAAGUGAACAGCAUACUCUAAUACCCCUCAACUAUCUUCUGGGCAAUUUAUAUAGUAAAACGUGUAAUAAAAAAAAGUCAUGGUUAUCAAAUACAGGCAAUAUUACCUCCCCUCAUUUAAUCUCACUUCAAAGUGCUAACUGUAAACUAAGGACUGGUUUCUGAUGAGGGUGAUAACUGCUUGGUUACCAGUGCAUUGUGUUACCACUUUACCCACAUUCCCUUUAAAAGUUAAAAACCAAAGACCUGUAGUGAAUUUUCUUGACUCUCUGCUUCGUCCUUUACCCUGCCUCAGUCAGCUCCCACUGCCAGCAAUGGGUUAACCAUCACAGCCACCUCCCAUGAUCUUGGACCUGGUCAUGUCAUAAACUCCUAAGUUAGUCUUUCUGAAAGUCACUGCUAAGGUGAGCUGGACCUUGUUGCUAAUAUAACCUGAAUUGUAAGCAGACCAGCCUGAGUCUGGGCAGAGCUCAGUGUCCACCGCAGAGAUGGGUAUUACUGUUUAGAUGUAAACCAGAGGAGUUAAGCUUUGGUGACAGAAGUAGCUGCACUGACUGCAACUCCCUCUUGACACAAAACUUAACAAGUCUGGGCAGCUCACAC
rnacentral:lncRNA from 1 species